GUUCUAGUUUAAUUUAAAAUGUAAUAUUAGGGGUAUUAGGAUGGGUUUCAAUG
rnacentral:tRNA from 1 species